UAAUUCAUCCAUUUGAGUCACUGCUAAUGUCUUUUUGUAGUGUAAACAAACAUUUCUCCCGUUUCUCUAAACUUUAAUAUGUAUAUUUUUUUGUCCUUUGGUUACCGACAGUGUUUCUGAACAGCUAACCUUUGCGCGUUUCACUCUGUCUUUGUGUUUUAGGUCAUCAGCAGAUUUCAGCAGACUGCGUGACAGAGCAGGAUCCUGUAAGUACUAAGUAAAUGAGCGAGACAACAUUUACGUUUACACUUUAUUAAACAAGCACAAUGUGAGAGGAUGAGAAACACAGUGGUGAAUUAUAGUUUCAUACAGUUUGCAGCAAUGGAGAGACACCCAGAUAGAGAGGAGGAGUAAACAGGGACUGAGAAGGUGUACAAGACAGAUGUCAGUCUGAAAAGAGCGAGAUCACAAACAUUUGUGGCAGAGACAGAGAGAGAACGAGCAUGCAAAGGGGAAAUCAAGAAAAACGUAGUGCAAGCAAGCAGCCCGGGGAGAGGCUUAGUAGUGUAUCGAUGGACAGUCUUCAAAUGCUUUAAAAUGUUUUCAUAAAGAAGAGAGUAAAAUUGAUCGACAAUAAUUCUUUAUAUCAAAAAUAUAUCAAUGGGUCUAUAACUACAUGAAAUAGAGAAAGCACAUACAAUAUUACAUAUUUACAUUUUGUAUGUGAGUAUUUGUCAAAUCCUUAUAUACACAAAAAUUUAGUCCCAAACAGUACAAACAUGAACCCAACGUUGACAGAACAUUGCAGCUGUGCAGAUCACGGAGCCACAACGUAAUUCCAAUGUUGUCAGGAUGUUGGUGACCGCUUGGGUGAAGUCCCUGUGAUAAUGUACAGUCUGAUUGUUUCGAAGUGGUAUGUGCUGAUGUGCUUAUAGAGAGAAUCAUACACUCCCUUCAAUCGCUCCCCGUAAGUGGGAUUUUG